rnacentral:rRNA from 1 species
UACAGAGGUCUCAAGCGUUGUUCGGAUUCAUUGGGCGUAAAGGGUGCGUAGGCGGCGCGGUAAGUCGGGUGUGAAAUCUCGGAGCUUAACUCCGAAACUGCAUUCGAUACUGCCGUGCUUGAGGACUGGAGAGGAGACUGGAAUUUACGGUGUAGCGGUGAAAUGCGUAGAUAUCGUAAGGAAGACCAGUGGCGAAGGCGGGUCUCUGGACAGUUCCUGACGUGAGGCACGAAGGUCAGGGGAGCAA